rnacentral:rRNA from 1 species
CACGCGAGUGGAUGCCAAUCCCAAAACCUCUCUCAGUUCGGACUGGAGUCUGCAACCCGACUCCACGAAGCUGGAUUCGCUAGUAAUCGCGCAUCAGCCACGGCGCGGUGAAUACGUUCCCGGGCCUUGUACACACCGCCCGUCAAGCCAUGGGAGCCGGGGGUACCUGAAGUGCGUAACCGCGAGGAGCGCCCUAGGGUAAAACUGGUGACUGGGGCUAAGUCGUAACAAGGUAGC